GCGGGCGAGCGAGCGAGCAGGCCGCACUGGGGAGCGCGCGGCUCCCGCAGGCCGCCGCGGGGCGGGAAGGCGGGCGACGGACGCGGGGGGCCGGGCUGCGCGGGGGAGAACGCCGGUCGGUCGGGGCGCGACGGGCCGCGCGGGCCGACUGGAGGGCGGGCGCCCGGGGAGCCGCCUCAGUGCGGCGCCGGGCGAGCGCGGCCCUGACAGCGCCGCCCGCGCGCCGCCUCAGAUUUUCUGCAAUCUAAACACAAAUCAAGUGUUUCUCAUGAAGAUGUAAACAACUAAGGUCCGGGGACAUGACUCAGCAGCAGGAAAUCUACUCCUGGGGCAUCCGUGUGCAAGGUAGACUUUGCCAAGUUUCGUGGUGGGACAGAAGAGACGAGAGCGUCGCACAGUGGGUCACUUGCUUGUUUCUCCACAUCCCUUCCAUUCCUUCUCCCAGGGCGACGCCUUCCAGGACUCCAUGAACUUCCAGACCUGACUAUACCCAAGCCCACCAUCUCCCUAGACAUCCGUGUGAAUUGUGUAUCGCUUACUUUUCAUUGCUAUGGCCAAAGCCCCUAACAGAAGCAACCUGUGAGGAGAGAGAUUUAUUUUGUCUCAGAGUUUCACAGGGUUGAGUCCACUAUGAACAGUUUGGUCAUAGACAGAGAGAAAACAGGGGAAGGGGAAUGCCAGCAUUGGCCUUGGUCUCUUAGGUGAUUUUAAGUCAGUCAAGCUGAUGGUGAUGAUUAUGCGUCUUGGACUACCUAUAAGUGUUUUUCACUAGUGUAUAAAAUUCAAAAAAGAAAAUCAAUCACAUUUUAAUUAUUUAUGGCUGCAGUUCUGUAGUUCAUUCUUCUGGCAUGGAUAUGAACCAAAUCCCCAUUGUAUCUCUGGUCGGUCUGACAAUGCUGUGUCAGUGUGUUCUAAUUUUAAAGGAGCUUUUAUGUCAAAAAAGUUUGGGCAAUUUUGCAGUAAGAUGUAUAGCUGGGAGUGUCGCUCCUAAACCCAAAUCAACAUGGGAAGAUCUAGGCACAACUUGAAAUUUCAGAAUGGUAAGUCCUGUGUAGGAGGAGAGGCUAAGAAAUCAUAGCUUGUUACGCUCCUGCCCUGAGCCAGACACAGAGCAGGAUGCUGUGGGAUGGUCUGUAUGUCAAAUAUGUUGCUGAUUGGUCAAUAAAUAAAUCACUGAUUGGCCAUUGGCUAGGCAGGAAGUAUAGGCGGGACAAGGAGGAGGAUAGAGCUGGGAAGUGGAAGGCUGAGGGGAGACACUGCCAGCCGCCAUCAGGACAAGGAAGAUGUAAAGUACCGGUAAGCCACAAGCCACGUGGCAAGGUAUAGAUUAAUAGAAAUGGAUUAAUUUAAGCUGUAAGAACAGUUAGCAAGAAGCCUGCCACGGCCAUACAGUUUGUAACCAAAAUAAGUCUCUGUGUUUACUUGAUCGGGUUUGAGCGGCUUGGGACUGGCGGGUGAGAGAGAUUUGCCCUGACUGUGGGCCAGGCAGAAAAGCUCUAGCAACAAAUGGCGCCCAACGUGGGGCAAGAGUUUCCACCUAAAACCUGAAAAAAGAUUCUAAAACGGAGCUAAAAACAGCUUCCUAAUUGUCUCUCUCAAAUGAGCGGCAGCUGCCGGUUUGAGCUACUGGCGGGUUGCUGGCGUGCGCGCUCGACCUGCAGUAUGGCGGGAAUGAGGCCUCUGCAAAUGGCACAUUAAGCUACAUUGUGGAUUUAGCCUUUGCUAGUACAAAACAAAAAAAGAGGUUUCUGGGCUACACACUGCUUGGAUAAAAGCAUAGACCCACGAUAGCUCCCAGAGCUGGUGGUAAAGUACCACGCCAAGUUGGGAAGCUGAGGUGGGCGGAGCCAGCAGCCACAGUUGCUGCAGCUUAAAGCAAUAGAUUCACAAUAAGACAGAUUCAGAUGUAAUAGUUUAAAAUGUGUGUAAAAUAUACGUAGGCUUGAAAGAGACAAAAAAAAGGUGAUAUAUACAGUAUAGAAACAAAUACAUGGUUUUAAAAAAUAAAGUCUUUAAAGAGACAGUAAAAUUAAUAUAAAAAAUAAGCCACGUAGAGAUGACUAUUACACAGAGAGUCUGGAUUGUGUUGUCUUUGGGAUUCUUAACUACAGAGAGAUAUUUGAUUGUAAAGGAAGCUGAGUUAAACCAGUAUGUAUAUUUUAAAGAUACUUUGACUUCAAAAUUUGGAUGUAAGGAUAUGUUGCUUUGGAAAAGAGUCUCUUUUGUUUCCACAGAAAACAAGAGGCUAUGGAUUUGUUCCAGAGUAAGAUACAUCAGGUUUGACCAGCCAAGACCCCCUGAAAGGUCUCCAAUGACACCAUGGCCCAGAUGAUCCAACAUCCAGAACCGUUUCAAGACAACUGGCUCAGAUGAUACAGCCUCACGGACUACUCCAUGAUCCUAAAAUUUUCUUUGUUUCCCCAGAAGAUACAGCGCCCCCCUCCAGCAGGAAGUAGUAAGAAAAGCUACGCCCAAAUUCCCAAAUAUACCAAGCUGACUUUGGAGAUGUGUAAAGGUUAAAACCUUCCUUUUUAAGAAAAGAAAAGGGGAGGUGCUGUGGGAUGGUCUGUAUGUCAAAUAUGUUGCUGAUUGGUCAAUAAAUAAAUCACUGAUUGGCCAUUGGCUAGGCAGGAAGUAUAGGCGGGACAAGGAGGAGGAUAGAGCUGGGAAGUGGAAGGCUGAGGGGAGACACUGCCAGCCGCCAUCAGGACAAGGAAGAUGUAAAGUACCGGUAAGCCACAAGCCACGUGGCAAGGUAUAGAUUAAUAGAAAUGGAUUAAUUUAAGCUGUAAGAACAGUUAGCAAGAAGCCUGCCACGGCCAUACAGUUUGUAACCAAAAUAAGUCUCUGUGUUUACUUGAUCGGGUUUGAGCGGCUUGGGACUGGCGGGUGAGAGAGAUUUGCCCUGACUGUGGGCCAGGCAGAAAAGCUCUAGCAACAGCAGGAUGCUGGGGUCAACUGUGAAACAAUGUAGGCAAGGUCUCCAUCCUCAUGAAGCCUGUGGCUGAUGGGGAGACAGCAAUCGUACAAGCUCACACAGCAUGUGCGUGGGUGGCAGGGGAAUUGCGCAGAGUGAGAUAAUAGUCCAGCAUUCCCUGGAGACUAGAGACAGGGUGGGAAUGCGAAUGGAAGGCCUCAGACCAGAGGUAACAGCAAGUGUGCAGAUGUAAGGCCCCACGGGAAACAGGCAGUCUGGGGGUCAGGAAAGCAGCUUAGGCCGGGUGUGCUGUCAUAGGCCUGGAGUCUCAGCAUUCAGGAGGAGGAAGCAGGAGACUGUCUUGGGCCACACAGCGAGACUUUGUCUCAAAAAAGGAAAGGGAGAGGAGGGGGGAGGGGGAGGGAGAAAGGCAGGGAGGGGAGAGAGAAAAAUCUCCUUUGGAGCUGGGACACAGAAUAUAGAGUGGCAGACAGGUGUGGCCCCAGCUGGGACUAGAGAAGAAAGUCCAGUGUAUGACUCCCACAUCUUCGGUUUGGGGAGGGUUUGUUUGGUUUUGUUUGGAGACAGUCUUUCUGCAUAGCUCUGACUAUCCUAGAACUUACUAGGUAGACCAGACUGGCUUCGAACUCAGAGAUCCGCUUGCCUUCGCCUCCCAAGUGCUGCCGUUAGAGGUAUGAACCAUCUUCAGAUUUGUGAACCUUUUUAGUUUGCCGCUGCUCAUCCUCAGCUGAGACCCAGCCUCAGUCUGAACUCACGCAUUCUGACCACACCUCUGUUUGCUAGAGGCCCAGGUAGCUGGGCAGCACGGCUGUCACUCCCCUGCACCUAACACCACUCUCCGACAGCUGGGACGGCCAGUCAAACUGGGCCUUCUCUCUAUGUGCCCUGACUGUGGUAAGUCACCAAUCGGGGGAAAGGGAACAAAAUGCAAUUUUCACUGACAUCAAUAACCUUGCAUGAAGAGUUUUCUUGACUAAUCUUCAA